UAGCUCAGUUGGUAGAGUGCUUGCUUUGCAUGCAUAAAGCCUGGGUUCAAUCCCCAG
rnacentral:tRNA from 1 species